GGAGCCACUGCAUCCAGCACAUGGGGUGCCUGGGCCUCAGAUGGGGACCCCAAAGAAGCAGAAGCUGAAGAAGGGCCACCAGACUCCUGGAGAGAUCAAGCAAGGAGAACCUGGGGCUGCCAUGGCCAAAGCAACUCAACAGAUGCCAAUGCCAAUUCCAAGGCCAGCCACAACCCUGCCACCUUGGGGAAUCCAGCCUGGAGGCAUCCCCUAAGCAGCCAGCCAUGGCCUGGGUGGAGGCACCUGAAGACGUCUGUCCCAAACUCCCCCAGCCCUGAGCUGGGAGAUGACAGGGGGAAAGAGGCCCUCUCAAGGGUGCCAGAUGCCUGGGUCUCCCAAGAGGGGUCCCCCAACUCACUGUUCCCGGGACAGGCUGCCCCCUGUUCCAGGAAGCUCAUCCUCACCUGUGUAGGCCCCUGUAGUGACCCACGCGUCCAGCAGACGCCCACCCACCGCUAGCCGUUGUUCCUGUGCAAAGUAGUGUGCUAUGCACCCACCCAGGUGGCCGCCUCUGGGCCCAAGGCACAUGCUGUGAGCUUCCUGUGAGCCCAGGCUCUGCUCACUGCUGUCCCGCGUCAUGAGCACCACCUCUGCUUUCCCUGUGUAGAUCUAGGCCAGUGGCUGCUUGUUCUUGUGGAGCUGUGUGUGUUCUUCUCUGAGCAGCUCCUCCCCGGAGUCCCCCAGCACAGUCCCAGGAGAUGACAGGAAGGAAGCACCAGGGCAAGGCGGACGCUCACCCUGUGACCACGAUGGUGACCGUGACUGUGGGAGGAAGAACUGGACCCAGGACGGAGCGGGGCUGCCCUGCCUGAGGCUCCCGAGGAGCUUUGUGCUUUGGUGUUCCACCCCUGUUGUUACUCAUGACUCAGUUUCCUUAACCUGGUAGGGUGUUCCCUGCUGUGUUUUCCAGUGUCCUGUGACUGUCCUGUGCGGGCCAUAGGGCAGGGCCCUGCCCCAGCAGAUGGGCUUGGGAGGGGACUCCCUAAAGCCAGUGGACACUGCCAGAGUCUACCUUCCUGGCAAGAGGCAGACCCCGGGGCCCUCAGGAAGGAGGGAGUUGGCAGCGGGGGCUGCAGCAGGAGUAGGAGCAGAUGAGGCGUCUUGCCAGGAACCUCAGGAGGAGGGGGCCCGGGACCUGUGUGGGACCUGUGUCCUGUGGUGGCCGUUUGCAGUUUCUCUCUGUGUUGUGAUUCCCUUCUCUUCAACGUUUUCAGUACGUGUUUCUCUUCAAUAAACUUCAUUCAGUGUUCC
rnacentral:lncRNA from 1 species